GACGAACGCUGGCGGCGUGCUUAACACAUGCAAGUCGAACGGUCAACCUCUUCGGUGGGGCUCAGUGGCGAACGGGUGAGUAACACGUUGACAACCUGCCCCCGUCUCUGGGAUAACUCCAAGAAAUUGGGGCUAAUACCGUAAGUUCACCGCUUCUCGCAUGGGUGGUGGUGGAAAGGUUUUCCGGCUGGGGAUAGGCCCUCGGCCUAUCAGCUUGUUGGUGGGGUAGUGGCCUACCAAGGCGACGACGGGUAGGCGGCCUGGGAGGGUGACCGGCCACACUGGGCCUGCGAGAGGGCCCAGACUGGUACGGGAGGCAGCGGUGGGGAAUAUUGCGCAGUGGGCGGAAGCCUGACGCAGCGGCGCCGGGUGGGGGAUGACGGCCUUCGGGUUGAAAACCUCUUUCUGCGGAGACGAAGCGCAAGUGACGGUACCUGCAGAAGAAGCACCGGCCAACUACGUG
rnacentral:rRNA from 1 species